rnacentral:rRNA from 1 species
GACGAACGCUGGCGGCGUGCCUAAUACAUGCAAGUAGAACGCACAGUUUAUACCGUAGCUUGCUACACCAUAGACUGUGAGUUGCGAACGGGUGAGUAACGCGUAGGUAACCUGCCUGGUAGCGGGGGAUAACUAUUGGAAACGAUAGCUAAUACCGCAUAAUAUUAAUUAUUGCAUGAUAAUUAAUUGAAUGGUGCAAUUGCACCACUACCAGAUGGACCUGCGUUGUAUUAGCUAGUAGGUGAGGUAACGGCUCACCUAGGCGACGAUACAUAGCCGACCUGAGAGGGUGAUCGGCCACACUGGGACUGAGACACGGCCCAGACUCCUACGGGAGGCAGCAGUAGGGAAGCUUCGGCAAUGGCCGAAAGUCUGACCGAGCAACGCCGCGUGAGUGAAGAAGGUUUUCGGAUCGUAAAGCUCUGUUGUAAGAGAAGAACGGGUGUGAGAGUGGAAAGUUCACACUGUGACGGUAGCUUACCAGAAAGGGACGGCUAAGUACGUG